rnacentral:pre_miRNA from 1 species
UUCAUACUCCCUCCGUUCGAAAAUACUUGUCAUCAAAAUGGAAAAAUGAAUGUAUCUAGAACUAAAAUAUAUCUAGAUACAUCCAUUUCAAUGACAAGUAUUUUCGGACGGAGGGAGUACAUG